rnacentral:rRNA from 1 species
UACGUAGGAGACGAGCGUUGUUCGGAAUUACUGGGCGUAAAGCGCGUGUAGGCGGCAAUACAAGUCGGAUGUGAAAUCCCGCGGCUCAACCGUGGAAGUGCACCCGAAACUGUAUCGCUAGAGUCCCGGAGAGGAUGGUGGAAUACUUGGUGUAGAGGUGAAAUUCGUAGAUAUCAAGUGGAACACCGGUGGCGAAGGCGGCCAUCUGGACGGUGACUGACGCUGAGACGCGAAAGCAUGGGGAGCGAACAGG